CCCCACUGAGUUACAUCCUCAGCCCCGCACCACUGUAGCUUCACUGUGUGUGAAUUUUACUACUUUCUGGAGGCCGGGAAGUCUGGGUACACUGUGCCAGCAUCUAGCAAGGGCUUCUAUGCUGAGUCACACAAGACAGAAGCGCAAGCUAUCACAGGAGAGAUGGGGGAAUCGGAUGGAUUCACCCCUUUCAUUAAAGACUCCCUCCCUUGAUAAGAGUGCUGGGAUUACAGGCCUGCGACCUCACAUUUGUCCUCGUCUGACACUAAAGUUUCCACUGCUUCACACGGUUACAAAAGCAACGUGAGUUUUGGAGAAGACAUCCGAGCCAUCCAUCGCAGAAGCAGAGCAGCAGGUGCAGAGGUCCUGAGGCAAUGCUGAAUUUAGCUCAUUCAAAGAGUAGCUUGGAGGCCAGUGUCUUCAGU